UAUGGAAGUAAAGGUCGUAACAAGGUCUCCGUUGGUGAACCAGCGGAGGGAUCAUUA
rnacentral:rRNA from 1 species